rnacentral:rRNA from 1 species
AUUGAACGCUGGCGGCAGGCCUAACACAUGCAAGUCGAACGAGCGGCGGACGGGUGAGUAAUGUCUGGGAAACUGCCCGAUGGAGGGGGAUAACUACUGGAAACGGUAGCUAAUACCGCAUACUAUCGGAUGUGCCCAUAUGGGAUUAGCUAGUAGGUGGGGUAAAGGCUCACCUAGGCGACGAUCCCUAGCUGGUCUGAGAGGAUGACCAGCCACACUGGGACUGAGACACGGUCCAGACUCCUACGGGAGGCAGCAGUGGGGAAUAUUGCACAAUGGGCGCAAGCCUGAUGCAGCCAUGCCGCGUGUAUGAAGAAGGCCUUCGGGUUGUAAAGUACUUUCAGCGGGGAGGCGUUACCCGCAGAAGAAGCACCGGCUAACUUCGUGCCAGCCGCCGCGGUAAUAC